CAAUUAGAAAUAAAGAAAUUAUGACUUGAAGUUUGAAAGCUUGAAGAAAGUGUUGGAAUGCAUAGGUUGACAUCAAAUAUAAAUUACUCAAGUACCUUUCGGUAAACAUAAUACAAAGCAUCUUUGUAAUUAUUCCACAAACCACUAACCACGGUUAAUACCAUUUCAAUAAAUCCGUCGACAACUUUCGGCCAUUCCUCAAAAAAUUGAUUAAGCCAUGGCAUUCCUUUCUCACUCACAUUACCGAUCGUCAAUGAAAUCGAAUCUGAUAUUCUCAUGACUCUUCCUUUCGCCAGAUCAAACAACGUAGUAAACAUUUCACUGAUUACAUCAACACCUAGUUUGCAUAAUUUUAUAGAACAAGACUCGAAUGUAUCUCUUACCAGCUUUAUCAAGGCAUAAAUGGCUUCCCCUGGAAUCUUGAAGGUUUGAACAAAUAUACAGAAAAAACAUGCUGCGACGUGGAAGAUCACAUAAGAAAUCGAAUUGGACAAGAAACUUACAGUUGAGAAGAUCAAUUUUGCUAAAGCAGCUAUCAUCUUCUUUGAUUUUUUUUCUCUUUGUUUAUUUUGAGAAAAGGGAAAACAAGUUAAAAAAAAAACAACGUGCACCGCUUAUGACUAUUUCUAUGUCAAUGCUUGGAUCCUUAAGGCUAUGUAAGUGGUGACAUUUACAAUUUUAUUAAGAGGUUGAGCCACGUCAGAUUCCAGCUUGGAAACUGAUGUUUUCUCUGUUUGACACUUCAGAUCACUUCAACGCAGAGUAUUUUUUACUGGGCUCGCGUGUUGGGCUUCGUCUGUUAAUUUAUGCGAUGUUUAUGGUCCUACUAAGGAAUAGGUCUUUGGUCUUCGGUUUCAUCGAUACGGCGGUGUAUCUGUAGCGAUGGCGUUUGAGAUUCGUAACAGAGGCGUCGUGAUAACUCCGAGUUUAAUCUUUCUGUCUUAAAUGGUGAUUACGAACACUCCAGAUGCAUCCACUCUCUCAACCUGAUCGAAGCGGAGAUGGUUCCGUCUCCCUCCCUCCUCCUUCUCCUUCUGCUUCCUCCGGCCAUAGAUUUUCUCUCCCUCUGCUCUCGCCUCAAGUUUUGAUGAUAGACAACUCCAAGAGCUGGAUGGGUUAAAAGAGAAGUGAAGAAUCCAGAAUCAAUAGCGGAUCACAUGUAUCAGAUGGGUCUUAUGGCGUUAGUUUCUUCAGAUAUUCCCGGUGUUAAUAGAGACAACCAUUGUAGGGGAUAUCACACCUACUUGCGGGGUCUCUAACGAAGAGAAAAACCAUAGAGUAAGUGAAGCACUUGAACACAUGUGCAAACUAUUGGCUGGCCCGAUAGAAUGGAUAUCGCCUCUAACCCAAAUAUGGCUGAAGCGAGAAACAAAGGUCGUCUCUCUUCUGCCUGCGACGACGAGGUGACGUUCCACGAUCUGAGUAAAGGCUUCGUGUUUUAUUCCAUUGAUUCUCCUUGAACUCAUCUUCUCUUAUAUCUGAAGAUUUCUGUCAUCUGCGUCACCUGCGUUCGGUGCCUAUGGAGGCAUGCAGUUUUAUCCUAGCGGAAAAAAUCUCUGUGGAAUGGGAAGCCUUUGGUGCAUUUUCUUUGCUCUGCCUCAGGUACCUUAAAGUUUGAAUCUUUGAACUGAUUUUCUGGAGGAUGAGAUUUGAAUGACUAAAAUGUGUAUUUCGUUUAAAUUGGCUGAUGCAAACGCAAGUUAAAUUUAAUGAGUUUUGUGGAAGCUCAAUGUUGGCAGCAACUUUUGCUUGGGACAAUGAACUGGAGAAUGCUAUUGAAGCUCUUUAGGAGACUAUGCUUCAGGUUUCUUCUGCUGUGAUGAGGUUAAGGGAGUCUCUAGGAGUAUCUGUUCUUAGCAGGAUUCCCACAAAAUGAUCGUAUCACCCUGCUGUAGAGAAAGCUUUGGAGAUGAUUGAGCAAAAAAGUUAAUCUCUUAGCAAUGUAGUUUAGUUACCAAUGUCCGUCUCUAUUCUUGCAGUAUUAUGUUUUACAGCUUAACUAAUGUUUUCUGUUUGGAAACAUGUUGUGGUUGUGAUUGCUUGCAACAGAAAGGUUAUAAUGGAUACUGACAUUGAUCUCAUUGCUUGGUUUUCAGAGUUACAUAGUGAAGGGCAUGAUGCUUAUCAAUUCUGUCUGCAACUAACUGACGCCCCAGCUUUUAUCGGGAACACAAUAUGCUGUGAGACUUUUCCGAAAGAACCAGUUAGGUGUUUGCAGUGAAGCUUUGGCUGCAACUAUGAACUUCCAGCUACUUCAACUGCGUGUGAUAUCAAGAUAGAGCGUGACGUACUAACCAGCCCCAAAUAUGACCUUGAGUUCUCUAUUGUAGAGAGGAUACAAGAGACAAGUUAAACUCUAUGUGACAGAACAAAUAUGAGGACGCUUGCAUUUUGCAGCACCUAUAUUCUCAAUUGGCGGGAAGCUGAGGAGAGAAAAGAUGACAUGUUAUGACAUUUUCGGUUCUCUGCAUCCAACUCCAGCUGUUUGUGGGCUUCCAUCAGAAGAAGCCAGACUAUUGAUUGAGGAAAUACGUGAAACAUUAGCUGUUUGUAAUUUUUUUUUUGAUAUAUUUUCAGAAUUACCAUUGUUUUCAGAAUUACUCUUUAGAAUUGAAUUGCCAAAAAUUAUCUUUCGUUAUGAUCAA